rnacentral:rRNA from 1 species
AGGUCUAGCCUGCCCAGUGACUUUGUUCAACGGCCGCGGUAUCCUAACCGUGCGAAGGUAGCGUAAUCACUUGUUCUUUAAAUAAGGACUAGUAUGAAUGGCAUCACGAGGGUUAUACUGUCUCCUUUUUCUAAUCAGUGAAACUAAUCUCCCCGUGAAGAAGCGGGGAUCAAUAUAUAAGACGAGAAGACCCUAUGGAGCUUUAAACAAACAACAACUGCUAAUUUAUUUAUGACACUCAGGUUCCUAAUCUUAACCCUAGCACUAUGAUCUUAAGUUUUUGGUUGGGGUGACCGCGGAGUAAAAAUUAACCUCCACAUUGAAAGUAAUCCUUUCUAAGUAAAAAGUUACUACUUUAAACAUCAACAAAUUGACAUUUAUUGACCCAAUAUUUUGAUCAACGAACCAAGUUACCCUAGGGAUAACAGCGCAAUCCAUUUUAAGAGCCCCUAUCGACAAAUGGGUUUACGACCUCGAUGUUGGAUCAGGGUAUCCAAGUGGUGUAGCCGCUACUAAAGGUUCGUUUGUUCAACGAUUAAAACCCU